CAGGCCUAACACAUGCAAGUCGAGCGGUAUAUACUGGAACGAAACUUCGGUCUAGAGAAGGUAUAGAGAGCGGCGGACGGGUGAGUAACGCGUAGGCAACCUGCCCCAUACAGAGGGAUAGCCUCGGGAAACCGGGAUUAAAACCUCAUAACACGAGAGUUUCACAUGUUACUUUCGUCAAAGAUUUAUCGGUAUGGGAUGGGCCUGCGUCCGAUUAGCUAGUUGGUGAGGUAACGGCUCACCAAGGCAACGAUCAGUAGCCGACCUGAGAGGGUAAUCGGCCACAUUGGAACUGAGACACGGUCCAAACUCCUACGGGAGGCAGCAGUGGGGAAUAUUGCACAAUGGGCGAAAGCCUGAUGCAGCAACGCCGCGUGAGCGAUGAAGGCCUUUGGGUCGUAAAGCUCUGUCCUUGGGGAAGAAAAAAUGACGGUACCCUUGGAGGAAGCCCCGGCUAACUACGUGCCAGCAGCCGCGGUAAUACGUAGGGGGCAAGCGUUAUCCGGAAUUAUUGGGCGUAAAGAGUGCGUAGGUGGUUAUGUAAGCGCAGGGUGAAAGGCAAUAGCUCAACUAUUGUAAGCCUUGCGAACUGCAUGACUUGAGUGCAGGAGAGGAAAGUGGAAUUCCUAGUGUAGCGGUGAAAUGCGUAGAUAUUAGGAGGAACACCAGUGGCGAAGGCGACUUUCUGGACUGUAACUGACACUGAGGCACGAAAGCGUGGGGAGCAAACAGGAUUAGAUACCCUGGUAGUCCACGCCGUAAACGAUGAGCACUAGGUGUCGGGGUCGCAAGACUUCGGUGCCGCAGUUAACGCAUUAAGUGCUCCGCCUGGGGAGUACGCACGCAAGUGUGAAACUCAAAGGAAUUGACGG
rnacentral:rRNA from 1 species